GACGAACGCUGGCGGCGUGCUUAACACAUGCAAGUCGAACGGAAAGGCCCUGCUUUUGUGGGGUGCUCGAGUGGCGAACGGGUGAGUAACACGUGAGUAACCUGCCCUUGACUUUGGGAUAACUUCAGGAAACUGGGGCUAAUACCGGCUAGGAGCUCCUGCUGCAUGGUGGGGGUUGGAAAGUUUCGGCGGUUGGGGAUGGACUCGGGGCUUAUCAGCUUGUGGGUGGGGUAGUGGCUUACCAAGGCUUUGACGGGUAGCCGGCCUGGGAGGGUGACCGGCCACAUUGGGACUGAGGUACGGCCCAGACUGCUACGGGAGGCAGCAGUGGGGAAUAUUACACAAUGGGCGGAAGCCUGAUGCAGCAACGCCGCGUGCGGGAUGACGGCCUUCGGGUUGUAAACCGCUUUCGCCUGUGACGAAGCGUGAGUGACGGUAAUGGGUAAAGAAGCACCGGCUAACUACGUG
rnacentral:rRNA from 1 species